CACAUCUUCUUCAUCCAUGCUGCUCAUGGCUGCAUCCUGAACCUCCUCCCUAAAUCCUGCCAGGAAAAGCCAAUGCUUCCUUCUACCUUAAUGAGGUUUGCUGGCCAAAGCUGGCCAGUCCUCAGAGGACUGGACCUACGGAGACACAGCAGACUUCACCACCAAGCCUGAAGAUAUUUCUGUUGUCUGCUGCGAGCCAGCAUGAUUCAUAAGGAAUAGCAUCCUAGCUUUGAGGCGAUGUCUAUACCAAUUUGAGGAACAAGAUGUUUACUUAUCUGCGAAAGCAUACGAGAUGGUCUAAAAUAGGAAGCCUCAUCAUGUAUUCCCGGCAUGGCAUUUGCAUGCCUGUGAGACUGCAUAAGAACCAAUGAAGUCAGAAAUGAAGAAAGUUGGGAAUAUAGCUCUUUGAUUUUGGUUUUUUGGUUUUGUUUUUUGUUUUUUGUUUUUUGUUUUUUUUAUGUCUAAACAGUCUGAAAACAGGACAAACGAAACUUUGUUGUUGAAUGUACCAGUAGAAAUGCUAACAAAAUUAGCAAACACAUAAAGUUUUAUUUCAUGCCAACUACAGUUCUAAGUAUUUUAUAUGAACAGUUCACUAACAUUUCCCAAGGUGUGUGUGUGUGUGUGUGUGUGUGUGUGUGUGUGUGUGUGUGUUGGGGGAGGGGUGGCAACAACUACUCAUUCUUCACAGAGGUGGUUCCCAGGCUGAGGGAGUUCACUUUCUCAAUGAGACACUGUUCGGAUAUGGGUGGGCCAGGUGGGAAUGGCUCUAACUUUACGAAGAACACGUGGUCACACACAUUGCAUUUUCUGGAACAAAAAACAGUUUAUCUAUAAGUGUGAUGGGUCUUUCUAGACCCGUUGAUUCAUUUGGGUUAAGGAGCCUCUUUGUUUCAGUUUAAAUGUUUAAUCCACUCAACAUUUGCCUUUGUCCUAGUAGCACUGGUUUCAGUGGUAUCUUUGGGGUUGCUCUUUCAGAAAUCUAGCAUGCUGUCCUCCUAGGAGCACACGUCUAGAAGUCUUAGACCAUGUCUUGGGAGUAUGCAAGGGAUAUGGUGUCCUUGGGCCACUCUGUCCUCCAGGCCCCUUGCUUAUUUCACUCAGGCAUGGCUAGUCUGCACCUGGAUGGUGGUUCCUGAAGCUCACGGGCUACAGUAAUGUUAGUCUCUUUCUUCAACUUCCAGAUACAUCAGCUGCUUUCCUUGUUAAAUCUCUGUAGCAACAACUUACAUGGAUUUCCUUUUGGCCACUGGACCAGGGUUACUCCCUGGCUAGUACCCUUAGCCGCCUCUAUUUUCUCCAUGGACAUCUGAGAUCCUUUGAAUUUAUUUAUCUCCAUUCUCUCAAAACUCAAGGAGCCAAUAGGAAGCUGGCCUUUCUUUUUUCCUCACCCACUGAAUGGUUUGGCUUCAAUGCAGUUUAUCCUUUUGGAGCAAAGCCAGAGUUGUUCAGUAAAACCUCAUGAAAUCUCAAGCAGGCAGUGGGUAGACCAGACCAUUUUGGGCUUUUAGUUUUCAUUCCAAACUUUUCUUAUGUGGCACAAAGUUGGGCAUUGUAUCUUCUUGCCCAAUUCCCUGAAGUCCCUAGGUCUAGGCAGAGGUGAAUGGACUUUUCCAUUUCCUUUACUUUAUUAACCAAUUACCACCACCACUAGAACACAGCUGUUUCCCAAGCUAGCCUUGAACUUACGUAAUAGUAGCCUUGAACUUGUAACUAUCCUGACAUAUACAUAUACAUAUCCUGUAUAUACUUCCUGACUAUCUGGUACUCUAGGCCUGGAUCAUAAGGCCUGGCUUAUUUAGUUAUUUUUGAGAAAUUGCUCUAUACCAAGGACAUCCUGAACACAAGGCGUAUGAAUGAUCAAUGCAAAGGUUAUUAUUAACACUUUUGACUGCUUACCAUGGCCAGAUUCUGAGUGAAGAAACUUUACACGCUUUCCCCCCGUCUGCCCAGUAAUCCUGUGAACUAAAUAGAAUUCAAGCCCUGAUUUUACUCAUUUGGGUCAGGACACAUCUGAACCGUUUACAGGGAUGUUUUUGUGUGCCUCCUUUUAAAACAUAAAUCAAGAAGGAAAGAGAUAGUGUUCUUCAUCGUUUCAUCUGAAUAGCAGAGGGCAGAGCGUGAAGAUUCAUCAAGGAGGAAGGACAGGGGAAAUUGAGUGGCUGGAAAGGAAGGUUGGUGAAGCUGAAGCAAUCAUCUCUUACUGUACACUUCUAUUGCCAAGAAAUUGAACACUCCGGAAUGAGCCAUGUUACCACACAAACAGCCAUCUUUUUACCUUUGCCCAUGGCAUUCCAUCUCUUGGCAUGUAGGCUUUCCAUGGGAAGAUGCUCCAGAGAGACAUGAGCCAUCCAGACACAUACUUUCCCCCUCUUCUCUUUCUCAAGCUGACUGGCCAGAAAUUCCUCAACAGCUUCUUGAUCAAUCAUUGUCCCGUCCUCUGAUCUACAUCCUCGUCGUCUAUAAACGACUUAAUGGACUCUCAAAGCACACCUUCAGCACUGUCCAUCAGGAGUCUCACUAAAAGGGGUUUGGACUUCUGGGACUCCUCAAGGUCUCCUCCACCUCUGCCUCCCUAAUAGCUCCAUUGUAGCCUCAAGUCUGGACAACCUUAGACAGUUUGUUGUUGUCGUUGUUUGUAGUUUAAGUGGCCUUAUUGAUGGCUCACCUGGCUACCAGUUUUUCAAACUCAAAACCUGCACACCAUACAUAUCUCACCUGCAACUUUAUCUAGUCAGCUGUCCUCUCCUACUUGGCUUUCUUUCACUGUACAUUGACCCUCCACUGGGGAUUCAAUGAAAGACCCACAGCAGACAUUUUUUUCUCUUCUUGACCCUUUCCCCUUUUCAUACCCAUUCCCCAUUCUCUCCUUUCUCUUACUCUUCCCCACCUUCUCCCCCUUAGUCCCUUUUCCUUUCUCACACAUAUUAACCCUCAAUUUAAUAUAAUUUUGCUGUACCAUGUCUCCUCUAAAGGAUAUGUCCAUGAGCCCUCCCCACAAAGUCACUACUCUCUGGCCUUGACAACAUUUUCCAUCAGGUGCUGCCCACACUCUCCCUGCUCAGGUCUGUAACCAGGUAAACAGUUGCAGCACCGUUUAACCAUAACAAUCCUGAGGAAAUUAACCAUCAGUGUGGAAAGAGUCUGGGGCCGCCAGAGAAAUCCUGUCAUUCUGUUGCAUCUAUGGGUUUUUAAGAAAGUUUGUUUGGAAGUUUUAUAUAUAGGCACGGAUGGCUGGUCCUGUGUCCUGUGUUUCUUCCAUAUGUGUCUGACUCUGUCCACGUGGUAGUUGCUUUUCUACUAAAAGGUCUCAAAGGCCAUUAAUUAAGCCAAAGCUAUCUACCUAAUCUGGAGCAUACUUCAGUAAUGAAAUGUGAGUGUUUGCUCCAAGGCCAGGGUCUAGUACACUUGGUGAGGAAUGUGAACUAAAUGGACUGUGCCUUGUGACUUCACUGUGUUGAUUUUUGUUCCCAUUUUCUAUUUCAGUCAGAAUGUGGUCUUUUUCAUUCCUUCUGUCAAGUAUUUUUGACAUGGCUUAUUUAUACAAUAGCUGGAAAAAAAAGCCUUGUCAUUUAGAGAAUGCUCAUCUUUAAAAGCAUGUUCCCUGUUAUCGUCAUCUACUGAGCCAGGUCGGCAAGGCCUGCUCUGUUCUUUUGCACAUCUUUUGCUAUUACUACUCAAGGCGGAAUUUUUCCUUGAAAUCCUGGUGAGAAUUGAGUCCCCCUUAGUCUCCUAGACAAAAUUCCCAAGGGGUAAGACGGAUACUUUGCUGAGCAGUAACUGGAGAAGUUACCACACUAGUAAAAAGAUUAUUGAUCUAAGAAAGAAUCAGGAUUUUAUGAAGAGGUGUUUUUAAGACAUACAUAUGCCCCUUCUCUAUGGCAGUCUUUGUGACUUUGACCAUUUUGACUUGACUCUGAAGCAAAAAAAAAAAGUAUAUAUUCUGCAGAUAAUAUCUACUUCAAGAAUAAAUUGAGUGUAUCAGCAGCAACUCAAGGUUUCCAUUCCUUGACCUUUCUCUGGUGAUUUGCAUGGAUUAUCUCUUGGAUCAACCUCUUGUUAUAGUUGCUAUGAUAUUAAAAUGAUAGAACAGAAUACAAGACACUACCCUCUUCAGUUAUCUGGUUUAGUUUGGGAACUAAGACAGAAGAGAGGAAGGAAGGUGGAGAAGAGGAUGGAGAAAGCAGUGAGAUGAGUGAGAAAAGGAAGACGGAGAGAGGGGGAGGAGAGAGAAUUCUUAGAGAAGAGAUAUAUAAUUCCAAGAAAACCUGGGAAAUUUUGGUACGUUAUUAUAAACUUAGUAUAUUUCUACUAAAAAUACAAUUUUCAAGCAAGAUAAAUGAAAGAAAGGUCCCUAGUCAUUUGUAUUCUAUUCUUUAGAGUGGAAUCCUAGUGCCAUGAGAAAUGAAUUAGACAAAAGGCAGAGACCCUGGAUGUUACCUUCAUUUGUGCACAUUCACACGAGGGAGCUUGAGAGUCACUGGCAGGCUCUGGAUGCAAUGGAUGAUUCCAGAUCCCGUGCCCCUUUCAACUUGCGAAUGACUCAAAAGAUGGUUGUGCCAUCGCUCAUACCACCUGGCUAUAUUGCCAAGCUAGGAGGAAUGGGUUAUAUGUGUCUGUGUGUGUAUAUGAGAGAGAGAGAGAGAGAGAGAGAGAGAGAGAGAGAGAGAGAGAGAGAGAGAGAGAGAGAGAGAGAGAUAUGCUAGGGGUUAAGAACAUGUAUAUAUGCUCAUACAGGCAUACAUAUUUGUGUGCUCAGAACCACUAGCUUAGCCGCAUCUAGCAUUCUUCUUGCCUGUCUGCCAAGGUCUCCACAGCUGGGUUCUGGAAAGCAGGCUGGUAGCAAAGAGCCAUUAAGAUUAAGAAAGACAGACACAAGAAAUUAAUAUAAAGAUGGGAUCAUGUGUGCGCUCUGAGCCGCCCAGAUACGCAGGGCACCUAUUAUAUAUUGUGGGAAGGAGAAAGUACAUUACCUAAUCUCAGUGUGUGGGGUCCUUGGUAGGGUAGCUGUCUGGUGGAACAUGAUUACACAGUUAUUUGGAAUGAGGAAGCUGUGCUUGAUACUUUUUGCAUGUAUUGGUUUUAGCUAAAAGUCAACCAUUCAAUAUCUGUUCCCUGACCAGGAAAAAGCCUUGCCAUUGCCAUGAAUCUGGGGCACUGGUGUCUCUGAGAUGGUCAUGCUCAUGUCAGCAAUACACAUUCCCUUAGGGAUUUCAUCCACUCUCCAAGCCUGGCUAUAGGAUUAAGUCUCAGCUGGGAGCCAGGAACCACACAGCAGUGUACUUCCAUGGGACUCUUUAGUCCAUCAGCUCUGCUCCCAGGUUUAUAUUUCUAAGUUCUACUGCAUUUUGUCCUCUUAUAUCUCCAUUAUUCUAGAUGAACCCUGUGUUUUCUCUGAGUUCAACCUUCAGUGCUUUGUAAGGAACUUCAUGUAACUCAUUCUCCAGAUGUGCCAAAUUUCUCCUAUUGAGUACAUAUGAUAUUAGGCAACGGUUGGGUCACUCACAUUGAUACACUUAGUCAUUACUAUUGACCAAAUCAUAGAUUAAUGCAAAGUGACACAUGUCUUCAACUCCCCCUGCCCCUGCCCAGAUAUGUGACAUCUCACCACCUGGCACUAUUCUUGUUAUCUUAUUCUCAACAGACUUCUUUACAAAUGAUUUUGUGUCCCUUGUAAUAAUGUCUGAGAGAGAACAUUGCUUCAGUUCACUGGUGCUGUCUGAGCAUAACAUUCAUUCACUCAGUGUUUUGAGACCCUGAUGUAUGCUCAGCCUUGGGACACAGCACUGAACAAAAUGGAUAUGAUCUCUGCCCCAUGGACUUGUAGGGUUAUAGACACAUGAUAAAAGAUUCACAAGAGAACAUGUAGAGCUAACGAGUCACCAUGGUGUACUAUGUGAGAGGGCCCUCUAUAAAGCCUUCAAGCAGGCUUCUGUUGGAGGUGUCACUAUUGUAAGAUAUGAGGGACAGCUUGGCCAUAGCCAGGAAUUGCAUUGUGAGGGCUAGUUUCAUGUAGUCAUAGUAAGUCUAUACUUACACCCUAAGAUGCACCUUAGUUUCUUGCUUUCUCAUCCUUUCUUCAUCUCAGAAACCACUAGACUUGCAGACUUUGACCUUCUGAAUAUUUUCUAGAUCAGUGUUGCAGGCCUGAUGACUUUCCUGGACCACAAGUCUCUACCUUGACUUCCUACUUUGAGUUGGCCCUCUACAUAGCCCUGUGUGAUCAAAACAAAACCCAGGUGCCACCACAGCAUGUCUCUACAAAGUGCCUGCUGAAGCCACAAGGUCAGGUUCAAGCUGCUGUGGGUUUUGUCUUGUCCACAUCUCAAGAGCCAUAACUUACACCACUUCCAGCCUCAUAUUUUGUUUUGCAGAAAUAUCGAGCUGCUCUAAAUAGUGAACCUUAUACAUGGAGCUUGUCACCAGUCAAUAUCCUGUGUGUCUUAGCAGACACUCAGUUAUCAGGGACUGAAUUGAGGAUGCAGGUGUGUCUUUAACUUUUGAUGUGCAGUUUAUGUUUUCAUUACUGCACUUGUUUUCUGUCCUGUUUAUCUUUUGCAAAUAUGGGUUCAUAGACUCUAAAAAGAUUCAUGGCAGUGUACAAUUUGGGCAGAAACAUUGGUGGAUCAACUCAGAAUAAGUAAGGGAAUUAAUGUAAGCAGUGCAGCACUUAAGGAAAAAUUCUAGAAAGCAGGGCACUAUGUCAAGCUGGACUUAAACUGACAGAGAACAUUGUCUAAAGUGAGCCCUCCUUGAGUCGGACAAAAACUCUUGGUAGUUUAAUGUCUAGCAUGAAAACUGCUAAGCAAGAGCUAUUGUUCUCUUUAAGGGCAUUUCUAUAAAAUGUUCAGUAACAUGUCCUAAGUUAACUGAAGCAUUUUUCACAAAAGCAAGGCCAAAUGAUGUUCUCAUAUUUGUAUGAUGAAGAAAUCGUAUUGGCCUUCAUUCAAGAGACUAAAGUGAGUCAGAAUCCUUAGUAUCUCUUCUGCUAAAACAAACAAACAAAGAGGUAGCACAUUGCCACAAGGCGUCAUCUUGUUUCUGGUCAGGCAAGGGACCAGGCUUACUCAAGUUUAUUUCUCCCCAGCACGUAGUAGAGAGCACGGUUUCACAUAUUUCUGUUCAACUACCAAUAUAGUCUAAUAUUUCACACAAUUGAACAUAAUAAGAUAUUUCAGUAGACUAUAAAAAGAAUUUCUUUCAAAGCCUGGUAAAAUAAUACACAAGGUUAGAGUGUUUGUUUCAGCCUUCCAAGUGGACACAGGUUUCUGGCUUUUCAGUGUUAGAUGCCAGCCAGCUGGCUAGAACACUAAGAGUGGUCUUCAGUCACAUCUUUCUGUGGUUCUUCUUUUAUCUGCUUAUAUGAGUAUCUGAAGUCACCUGGCUUGGGGGAGGGAAGGGGGAGAGGGGGGGGAAGGAGAGGAGGAAAAUAGAAUAUGAUUGUACACUCUGUCUGCUCUUAUGAUAAGGAAGCUGGCCCCACAGUAACAGUCAUCUAUGCACAGGGCUAAGUCCAUAUUAUUCAGGAAAGCUCUUAAAGGUUCCAUUUCUUUUUUUUUUAAGAUUGAUUGAUUGAUUGAUUGAUUGAUUGAUUUAAUGUAUAUGAGUACACUGUAGCUGUCUUCAGACACACCAGAAGAAGGCAUUGGAUCCCAUUACAGAUGGUUGUGAGUCACCAUGUGGUUGCUGGGAAUUGAACUCAGGACCUCUGGAAGAGCAGUUAGUGCGUUCAACCUCUGAGCCACCUCUCCAGUGCCCUAAAGGUUCUGUUUCUUGAUACCUUUACAUUUGUGAUUACGUUUCCAUGAUGAGCUUUGUUAAAUGCAUUUGAACUAUAACACUCCCAGCUCUACACUGCCCAGAACAUCAGCCUUGCAGCUUGAGGUAAAAGGAAGGAUCCUGAGAAGAUAGACCUUCGUCUAGUCUGUCUCUUAUUAAUGCCACUGUCCCUCCAGUUCCAAGGUACCAUUAAUUCUUAAAAUGUGACAAGUCUGGAUUAGCCAGAUGGUUCCUGGUUGCCACCUACCUCCAUGGCCAGAUUAUUGCUUGGCUCCUUGUGUCUAUAAAUAAUGUGUUUCCAAGCUCCCAUUUUGCUCUUCUUUUACAUGUAUUUAAUUUUUGUGGGUUUCUUUGAUAAAUAGAGCUGAAGGCCUCCAGCCUUCCCCUUUGAUAGGAAAACACCAUUGCUUUACUUUCCCAUUUUUAUUUUGUCUUAGCAAGUAGUAUCUUUUAUGUUAUCUUUUAUGAAUUUGAAAUAUGUCCUUUUCUUUAUCAUCUUUAUCAUCUAUUUUUUCAAAUACUUUGUAGAUUUAUAUCUUUUUAGUUACUUCUUAUAUAUAAAUAUAUCUGGUAUAUAUUAAAUUACUGAGAAUAUUUUUUCAAGCAGUUUUACUUUUGUAGAAAAAUUGGGGGAUAGGUAAGAGAAUUAAUUCUCCUCUGCCUAUCCUCCCUAAGGCAUUCCCUUCACGUGGGCACACACAGCCUUCUCCCGUUGCAUCCCCAAGCAAGGCAGAGUGCUUUAGUUACUGAGCUAGUCAGUGGCACAUUUCAUCAAGCUAACUCUAGUUUAUACUAGUAUACCGUAUAUUUGUGUUUGGCAUUCUCGAGGGUUUGACUAAUGUAUGGUAAUGUAAAUAAAUCAUUAUGAGAGCACCCAGCACAGCUUCGCUUUCCUAAAAGUCCUCGUCCCCUGAGGCUGCACCCAGAGGUGAGGAGCUGAUAGCUGCUGGGGAAAGGACACUCAGUUUUCUUCAGGGCUAUGGCUCCUGGCAUACUCUUGAAUGCAGCCAUAAACACUAAGUAAUUGUUUAAAAGGCAAGAGAAAAGGGAUCUGGGACCCAUGUUACCUCUUCCUUUUACUUUCUGACCAUGAGCAGUUUUCCUAUACGACACACCUCUGGCAUUAUAAGCUGCUUCCUUAUAAGCCCCAAACAAGCAGACCAACUGAUCUGGAUUAAAACCUCUCAAACUGGAAGACAGCAUGAAUCUUUUCUUUUUAUAAGUUGAUUACCUCAGGUAUUUUGUAUAGUAAUAGAAGCUGACACAGCACUGAGUAAUAGUCCAUUGCCAGGACUCAGCACAGCUCUUCAUCUACUGAAGAAAAUCUUGGUAGCUUCCAUGUUUUGGCAAUUGCAAGAAAGCUGCUAUAAAACAUUGAUUGCAGAUUUAAGUUUUUAGUUAUUUGGGUAAAUAUCAAAGAACACAGGUGCUAGAUUAUAUAGUAAGGACUUUAUUCUUAUUUUAUUAUUUUGUACAUUUGGGUAUGCUGUCUGCAUGUGUGUCUGUGCAACACAUCAUGCUGUGCUCUCAGAGGCCAAAGAUAAUUCAGAUCUCCCAGGAAUUGGAGUUACAGAUGGCUGUGAGCUACCACAUGGUGCUGGAGAUAGAACCUGGGUCCCCGGCUUUGUACAGUGCUCCAAGGUACAACACCAUUGCUCCAGGCCCUAGAACUGUAGUUUUAUGAGAAACCGUGGCACUGUCUUCCAGAGUGGCCAUACUGUUUUGUUAUCUUACCAAUGAAUGGCAAGCAUCCUGUGUGUUUUAUGCUUUGUCCAUUUCCACCCUGUGUGUGGUGCACCUUAUUUUGUUUUGCAUCUCCAGUGAUAUCUGAUACUGGCCUCUUUUUGUACACUUGCUCACUGUGAUUAUAGGUCAUCUUUUGGUGAAGGGUCUGAGUUCACCUACUUUUAAGAUAAAAUUAUUUAUUUUAAGAUUACUGAAUGAUAGUCCUUAAUAAAAUUUCUCUUUUGAAAACAUUUUCUCCCAGACUAUAUCCAGUAUUGAGAAAUUAGCACAGAAUAUGACCAAAUUGCAAAAUUAAGGAUGUCGUCAUAAACAUUUGUUGUUUCAAAAGAAUUAAUCUACAAACUUGUGGUGAUUGUUCAAAAUUCCAUUUUGUGAAUAAUACUGCCUGAGGGUUUUUUGUGCAAAAAAUUCAGAAAAUGCUUAAUUUUAAAAGAUAUUUUCUCUAAGAAAAUAACUUGUUGAAUAUGCAGCAAUGUUUUUCAAGCUCCUGAUGGCUCAGGGAGGUCUUAAGUCAGACUCUAAAAUUAUGCCAGAGAUGGUGGAGAUUUAAGGGAGUGAGCCUCUUUCCACAAAUAAUUUUAUUUCAUGGGUAAAAAUGAACCUACAGAAAAGAGUUAAUAAGCUAGUUUGGAGCUUUUUAAAACUAAGUCAUCUUUAUUAAUACUGAGACUAAAUGCUUUCAUCUUGACAGCUGAGCUAAACAAAGUUAAAACACCUUAAAGCUGUUUUAAAUUUGUAAAGUGUUUUAGAAUCAACUAGAAAUCUUAACCAUAACCCCACCACCACCAAGAUACAGAUUUGGGGAACCAAAGGUAGGCAUAUAAAUGUGUACAUGUGUGUGUCUGUGUGUGUGUGUGUGUGUGUGUGUGUGUGUGUGUGUGUAUGUAUGAAUGAAUGAAUGUUUGUAUGUACGUAUAGACAGGAUUCCAGAGCAAGACAAGGCCUAGAGAAAUACUGUUUUGUGUAUGAAAUCACGAAUAAGAGUCCCUGCAAGGCUGGCUCUGGAUCACUUUGAUAUGCUCCCAUUAUUCUUUACGUCAUCGAGCCUGAUACCAUUUUAAGAAGCAAACAUGUUAAGAAAAUAUAUAAAUGUAACUGUAUAAACAGAGGUAAAACAUAGAGGAAGAGUAUCCUGGCUUUGCUGGAGGUUCUUGAGCCACAUUGUCAGUAGCUGUGGACAGUCAAACACAGACAACCCCCUUCAUAGACUCCUGGCUUCUUCAUGGAUGCUUUGUAAAAAUCCACCUCCCAAACAAACUUAUCUUUCCUUCUCUCCAUGUGUUGGGUUCCUUUCUCUUCUUUUUCUGUUUAAAUACAUAGUUACUCUCAGGUUCCACGUUAAAUCAAGUAAAGUAUAAUUCAGUGAUUGAAAAAUAAGCAUCUUUCAUGCGAUCUACUGGUGGAUUUUAUAAAAGUAUGGUCUUGCUGGUUUUCUAAGAUAUCUCCCUGAGGUAGUGGGUGCUUCGAUUCCUUAAGCCAAUGUCAUACCUAUUCCCUUGGCCCCUUUAACUCUAGUUAAUAAUGUCUUCCUACAGAAGGACAGGUCAGUGAUCCUAAAAAUAUUCUAUACAUUCUUAAUAUAAUUUGGAAGAAGGGAGCUACAACUGCAAUAAAAGGAAGAGAUAAGUAUGCAUCCCAGCCACUAGAUAUGCACAUGGAUGCUAUAUACAUGUAUAUAUCCAUCUAGAUAUAUACAUAUGUACAUAUAUAAAUAGAUAUAGAGGUACAUGAGUAUGACACAUAUAAUGGGCAUAUAUCGUGUGUUUCAGUGUGUGAGUAUGUGGUUACAUGGUUGAUUUGUAUGUGUGAGCAUCUUCCCAGAUGUUCUCUGAGAUGGCCUUGAAACAUUUUGACUCUGAUAAUAGCUAGCAUACCUACAUACCAAAUCUUCCAUUAAAAGAAUUAGGGAUCUUGGUGAAGUGGCUGUGUGGAAGGUUGGAAUAACAAAGAGUUAGCAGGAUAGGGGCUGGAACACUUUGUUAUAUGAGAAAUUCAGGAAAUACUGGGUAUAUCAAAGUUACACAUAGCCAGUCUGAAGGACAUUACUGGACAAUUAUAGGAUAAUUUAAGAACUAAUUAUUAAGUGAAAUAAUGAUUGUGAGUGUAAAACCCUGAGCAAUCACAAACUGCUCUAAUACAGAGAAGACAGAAAUGCGUCUGUAGAAAAUGCUGAGAGGAAUGCUGGAGUUACAGAUAUUAGGGAUGUUUUAGUCCCAUGUUCUGUUGAUGUGAAGAAGUCCAUGACUGCAGCAACUCUUAUAAAGAAAGCAUUAAACUGAAGCCUGCUUACAAUUUCAGAGGUUUGGUCCAUUUUUAUCAUGGUGGGGAGCAUGGCAGCCUGCAGAGAAAGUAUCAUUCAGAUCUACAGGCAGCAGGAGGAGAGGGGGAGAGGGGGAAGGGGAGGGGGAAGGGGAGGGGCAAGGGGAGGGGGAGAGAGAGGGGGAGAGAGAACACACCACUGGGCUGAGUCUUUUCAUCCAAAUUGUACUUUACUUCAUCCCCAUGUGACCAAAUUCCUGACAGAAGCCCCCUAGGAGAGGGGAGGAUUGUUUUGUUUUGUUUUGAGAUAUAUUUUUAUGUGUAUGAGUGCUCUAUCAGCAUAUAUACCUGCAUGCCAGGAAAGAGCAUCAAAUCCCAUUACAAAUGGUUGUGAUCCAUGAUGUGGUUGUUGGGAUUUGAACUCAGGACCUCUGGAAGAACAGCCAGGUACUCUUAACUGCUGAGCCAUUUCCCCAGCCCCUGGGCCUAGUCCUUUCAAACAGUGCUACUCCCUGAAUGGCCAAGCAUUCAAGUUUAUGAGCCUAUGGGGGACAUUGUUAGUCAAAACACCACUGGAGGGAGGGGUAAUGAUCUUUCACAAGCCAUUAUAAAGGAAAUUGAUUUGGGCAAAAAUCAUACAUAAAUGUUUAAUAAAUUGUAGCUGUACAUUGGACUAAAGUAUAUGCUUAUGUGCCCAGUAAGGUGGCCCAGUCUAUAAAGUGCCUGCCAACCUGAGUUUGAUUUCUUGGACCCCACAGUGGCAGAAGAGAAUCAAUUUCCUGCUGGAUAUAUUCUGACCUCCAUGUCUGACAGAGCAGACAUGUGCAUGCACACAUACACACACUGCGUGGAGUGGGGGAAAGGGAA